rnacentral:piRNA from 1 species
UGGGAUUACAGGUGUGACACAACUUUCCUGC